rnacentral:miRNA from 1 species
CAGUUAAAUUUGAAUUUCAGAUACACAAUGAAUUUUAGUAUAAGUAUGUCUCAUGCAAUACUUGGGGCAUAUUUAUGCUAAAAAUUAUUUGUUGUGUAUCUGAAACUCAAAUUUAACUGGACAUCCUAGAUUUU